rnacentral:rRNA from 1 species
UGCCUAAUACAUGCAAGUCGAGCGGAACGUUGGGAGCUUGCUCCCAACGUUUAGCGGCGGACGGGUGAGUAACACGUGGGCAACCUGCCCUGCAGAUCGGGAUAACUCCGGGAAACCGGUGCUAAUACCGAAUAGUUUGUUUCACCUCCUGGUGAAACACGGAAAGACGGUUUCGGCUGUCACUGCAGGAUGGGCCCGCGGCGCAUUAGCUAGUUGGUGGGGUAACGGCCCACCAAGGCGACGAUGCGUAGCCGACCUGAGAGGGUGAUCGGCCACACUGGGACUGAGACACGGCCCAGACUCCUACGGGAGGCAGCAGUAGGGAAUCUUCCGCAAUGGACGAAAGUCUGACGGAGCAACGCCGCGUGAGUGAAGAAGGUUUUCGGAUCGUAAAACUCUGUUGUAAGGGAAGAACACGUACCAGUUAACUGCUGGUACCUUGACGGUACCUUACCAGAAAGCCACGGCUAACUACGUGCCAGCAGCCGCGGUAAUACGUAGGUGGCAAGCGUUGUCCGGAAUUAUUGGGCGUAAAGCGCGCGCAGGCGGUCCCUUAAGUCUGAUGUGAAAGCCCACGGCUCAACCGUGGAGGGUCAUUGGAAACUGGGGGACUUGAGUGCAGAAGAGGAAAGUGGAAUUCCAUGUGUAGCGGUGAAAUGCGUAGAGAUGUGGAGGAACACCAGUGGCGAAGGCGACUUUCUGGUCUGUAACUGACGCUGAGGCGCGAAAGCGUGGGGAGCAAACAGGAU